rnacentral:rRNA from 1 species
GAUGAACGCUGGCGGCGUGCCUAAUACAUGCAAGUCGAGCGAACAGAUGAGGAGCUUGCUCCUCUGACGUUAGCGGCGGACGGGUGAGUAACACGUGGAUAACCUACCUAUAAGACUGGGAUAACUUCGGGAAACCGGAGCUAAUACCGGAUAAUAUAUUGAACCGCAUGGUUCAAUAGUGAAAGACGGUUUUGCUGUCACUUAUAGAUGGAUCCGCGCCGCAUUAGCUAGUUGGUAAGGUAACGGCUUACCAAGGCAACGAUGCGUAGCCGACCUGAGAGGGUGAUCGGCCACACUGGAACUGGGCCACGGUCCAGACUCCUACGGGAGGCAGCAGUAGGGAAUCUUCCGCAAUGGGCGAAAGCCUGACGGAGCAACGCCGCGUGAGUGAUGAAGGUCUUCGGAUCGUAAAACUCUGUUAUUAGGGAAGAACAAAUGUGUAAGUAACUAUGCACGUCUUGACGGUACCUAAUCAGAAAGCCACGGCUAACUACGU